rnacentral:tRNA from 1 species
GCUGUGAUGGCUGAGUGGUUAAGGUGUUGGACUUGAAAUCCAAUAGGGUUUCUGCUCACAGUG